UGGGGAAUAUUGGACAAUGGGCGAAAGCCUGAUCCAGCAAUGCCGCGUGAGUGAAGAAGGCCUUAGGGUUGUAAAGCUCUUUUAGUAGGGAAGAUAAUGACGGUACCUACAGAAAAAGCACCGGCUAACUUCGUGCCAGCAGCCGCGGUAAUACGAAGGGUGCUAGCGUUGUUCGGAAUUACUGGGCGUAAAGAGCGCGUAGGCGGCUUAUUAAGUUGGAAGUGAAAUCCCAAAGCUUAACUUUGGAACUGCUUUCAAAACUGGUAAGCUAGAGAGUGGUAGAGGAUGAUGGAAUUCCUAGUGUAGAGGUGAAAUUCGUAGAUAUUAGGAGGAACACCGGAGGCGAAGGCGAUCAUCUGGGCCAUUUCUGACGCUGAGGCGCGAAAGCGUGGGGAGCAAA
rnacentral:rRNA from 1 species